UACGUAGGUGGCAAGCGUUGUCCGGAUUUAUUGGGUUUAAAGGGUGCGUAGGCGGUGAUUUAAGUCAGUGGUGAAAUACGGCAGCUUAACUGUCGAGGUGCCAUUGAUACUGGGUCACUUGAGUACUGAUGAGGUAGGCGGAAUGGACGGUGUAGCGGUGAAAUGCUUAGAGAUCGUCCAGAACACCGAUAGCGAAGGCAGCUUACUAAGGAGUAACUGACGCUGAGGCACGAAAGUGUGGGGAUCAAACAGG
rnacentral:rRNA from 1 species